UACGUAGGGGGCGAGCGUUGUCCGGAUUUAUUGGGCGUAAAGAGCGUGUAGGCGGCCAUGUAGGUCCGUUGUGAAAACUCGGAGGCUCAACCUCGAGACGCCGAUGGAAACCAUGUGGCUAGAGUCCGGAAGAGGAGAGUGGAAUUCCUGGUGUAGCGGUGAAAUGCGCAGAUAUCAGGAAGAACACCCGUGGCUAAGGCGGCCUCUCU
rnacentral:rRNA from 1 species